rnacentral:rRNA from 1 species
CAGACGGGUGGAAGCAUGCCCGUAAGGACAUGGUGACAGUAUGGGAGGGAGAAUGGUGGAAUGAGUAGGGAGAUGUGGGGGAUAAUCCCGCAGGCCGUAAACCCAAGGGUUCCAGGGGAAGGUUCGUCCGCCCUGGGUUAGUCGGGACCUAAGCUGAGGCCGAAAGGCGUAGGUGAUGGACAACAGGUUGAUAUUCCUGUACUACCGAUAACCGUUUGAGAGA